GAUGAACGCUGGCGGCGUGCUUAACACAUGCAAGUCGAACGAAGCCCUUUAUUUGAUUUCCUUCGGGACUGAUUAUUUUGUGACUGAGUGGCGGAUGGGUGAGUAACGCGUGGGUAACCUGCCUUGUCCAGGGGGAUAACAGUUGGAUACGGCUGCUAAUCCCGCAUAAGCGCCCGGCAUCGCAUGAUGCUGUGUGAAAAACUCCGGUGGUAUAAGAUGGACCCGCGUUGGAUUAGCUAGGUGGUGAGGUAACGGCCUACGAAGGCGACGAUCCAUAGCCGACAUGAGAGGGUGACCGGCCACACUGGGACUGAGACGCAGCCCAAACUCCUGCGGGAGGCAGCAGUGGCGAAUAUUGCACAAUGGGCGGAGGCCUGAUGCAGCGACGCCGCGAGAGCGAAGAAGUAGUUCAGUAUGUAAAGCUCUAUCAGCAGGGAAGAUAAUGACGGUACCUGACUAAGAAGCACCGGCUAAAUACGUG
rnacentral:rRNA from 1 species